CUGACGGGCGGCCCUGCGGGGCCUCUGCUCGCCCCGCGUCCCAGCGCUACCGGGGGAGUAUUUCCUCCCAAGCUGGGAACCGUGCUAGGUGCUGGCUGCUCGCUGGCGAUGAGACAGGUGGAGGUGACCCAGCGUGUGGACCGCACGCUAGCCCGGUGCUGGCGUCCCGCGCCUGGGACCUCGGGCCCCCGAGGGGGAAAGGACUGUCCGGGGACCUUGCUCUAGAAGGACUCCAGACACUGAACCUCCCUAGGGUACAGACGUAACCAGGUCAGGGAAGCCUCUCUCUUUGAAGGGCUUUAAGUUUGUAACCAAGAAAAAAAAAAUGACGACUUCUUCUAUCAGACGGCAGAUGAAAAACAUCGUGAACAAGUACUCCGAGGCCGAAAUCAAAGUCCGGGAAGCCACUUCCAAUGACCCGUGGGGCCCGUCCAGCUCUCUGAUGACCGAGAUCGCGGAGCUGACCCACGGCGUGGCGUCCUUCCUGGAGAUCAUGAGCGUGGUGUGGAAGCGGCUCAGCGACCACGGCAAGAACUGGCGGCACGUGUACAAGGCGCUGACGCUGCUGCACUAUCUCGUCAAGACGGGGUCCGAGCGGGUGGCCCAGCAGUGCCGAGAGAAUAUCUUUGCCAUCCAGGCCCUGAAGGACUUCCGGUACACUGACCGUGACGGCAAGGACCAGGGCAUCAACGUGCGCGAGAAGUCCAAGCAACUGGUGGCCCUCCUCAAGGACGAGGAGCGGCUGAGGGCCUUGAGGGCCCAGGCUCUCAAGACCGAGGAGCGCAAGGCCCGGGUUGACGCCGGUAUGGGCAGCAACCUGAGCACCUCCGGGCGCGGCUCCCGCCAGCCCACGCUCUCCAGCAGCUACUCGAAGCAGGAGUGCAGCAAGGCUGGGGGCUCGCCGGCCUCCUACCGCGGCUCCACCUCCCGGAGGGUGUCCUCUGAGCUGGAGCAAGCCCGGCCCCAGACUAGCGGAGAAGAGGAGCUUCAGCUGCAGCUGGCACUAGCCAUGAGCAGAGAAGUGGCCGAGCAGGAAGAACGCCUCCGGCGGGGUGAUGACCUCAGACUGCAGAUGGCCCUAGAGGAAAGCCGAAUGGACACAGUUAAAGUUCCAAAAAAGAAAAAGCACGGCUCCCACCCACAGCAGACCACCCUGUUGGAUUUCAUGGACGCUCUCUCCAGCUCAGGCCCUGCUGCCGGGAAAGCGGAGCCCUGGGGCCUGUCGGCCUCAGCUAACCAGACCAACCCCUGGGGCGGGCCAGCGGCUCCUGAGAGCACUUUGGAUCCCUGGCCAUCAUUCGGUGCCAAACCAGCUGCCUCUGUUGACCCAUGGGGAGUGCCUACCGGAGCCAGCACACACUCUGUCCCCAAGAGCUCAGACCCCUGGGCCACUUCACAGCAGCCUGCCCCCAGUGCUGGGAAAACCACCUCUGACACCUGGGGCACAGUCUCAGCCACCAAGCCAGUAUCUGCCUCUAGGUCCUUUGAGCUCUUCAGUAAUCUGAAGGGUACAAUUAAAGACGACUUUCCUGAAUUUGACAACUUCCGAACUUCAAAAAAACCAGCUGAAUCUGUGGCCUUGCUGCCAUCCCAAAACAAUGGAACCACAAGCCCUGACCCCUUUGAGUCUCAACCCCUGACCAUUGCCUCGAGCAAGCCCAGCAGUGCCCGGAAAACACCUGAGUCCUUCCUGGGUCCCAACGCGGCCCUAGUAAACCUGGACUCACUGGUGACCAGGCCCACCCUGCCAGCCCAGUCGCUCAACCCUUUCCUGGCACCAGGUGCAGCCGCCGCCUCCACCCCUGUCAACCCCUUCCAGGUGAACCAGCCCCAGCCACUGACGCUGAACCAGCUGCGGGGCAGCCCCGUCCUGGGCACCAGCACGUCCUUCGGGCCUGGCCCUGGGGUGGAGCCCAUGGCUGUGGCCUCCAGGACCUCCACGGCCCCACACUCAGCUCUGGGAGCCAGUGGUUCUUCUCUGACAUCACUGGGGCCCACGAUGAAGAAUAUGGUGGGCAGCGUGGGCAUCCCCCCAUCGGCAGCUCAGGCCACUGGCACAACCGACCCUUUCUCUAGUGCCUCGGGCCUGGGACCCACCCUAGAGGGACGUCCAGAGCACCCGUGCAGAGGACACUGGGCAGGAACUCUCGUUUGUGGGAUGGGGCUAGAGAGGUUGGGGGGUGGUGUGUUAGGGCUUUUCAGUUCCAGUCUUUAUAGCCCUGACCCUCAGACUUAGAUUGUCACACGAGGUCCUCACGUUCUGAGGCAGGCCCGCUCACCUGUCCCAGCCUGGCCUACUCUCACCACCUCUUCCCAAGGGCUCAGGUCCUGUCAGGGCUCCUCUGAGGCCUUGGAGGUGGAGGUGGAGUUGUCAGUGUUGCCCCCAGCCUCGGCCCAAGGGUCUCUGGGACGUUGCCUGGCCUAGGACUUGGGACGGUCUCUUAAUUUUUGCCCCCAGUCCUAGGGACAGCCCAGGCAGUCCCAGGUGUGGAAGGGAUGA